AUUUAUUUAGUAUAAAUUUAGUACUCUUGACUUCCAAUCAAAAAGUUUGAUAUUCAAAAUAAAUA
rnacentral:tRNA from 1 species